GAUGAACGCUGACAGAAUGCUUAACACAUGCAAGUCUUUGGCGAAUCUGUGCUUGCACAGGCUAGCCAAGGCGGACGGGUGAGUAACGCGUAAAGAACUUGCCCUGCAGACAGGGAUAACAGACGGAAACGGCUGAUAACACCUGAUACAGUUGCCGGCACGCAUGUGCCUGGCAAUGAAAAGAGAUGCUGCAGGAGAGCUUUGCGUCCUAUUAGCUUGUUGGUGAGGUGACGGCUCACCAAGGCGAUGAUAGGUAGCCGGCCUGAGAGGGUGAACGGCCACAAGGGGACUGAGAUACGGCCCUUACUCCUACGGGAGGCAGCAGUGGGGAAUAUUGGACAAUGGGGGCAACCCUGAUCCAGCAAUUCUGUGUGCACGAAGAAGGUUUUCGGAUUGUAAAGUGCUUUCAGCAGGGAAGAAGAAAGUGACGGUACCUGCAGAAGAAGCGACGACUAAAUACGUG
rnacentral:rRNA from 1 species